rnacentral:rRNA from 1 species
CACGUAGGGGGGCGAGCGUUGUCCGGAUUUAUUGGGCGUAAAAGAGCUCGUAGGCGGCUCAGUAAGUCGGGUGUGAAAACUCCAGGCUCAACCUGGAGACGCCACUUGAUACUGCUUUGGCUUGAGUUCGGUAGGGGUAAGCGGGAAUUCCUGGUGUAGCGGUGAAAAUGCGCAGAUAUCAGGAGGAACACCGAUGGCGAAGGCAGCUUACUGGGCCGAUACUGACGCUGAGGAGCGAAAGCGUGGGGGAGCGAACAGGA